rnacentral:rRNA from 1 species
GACGAACGCUGGCGGCGUGCCUAAUACAUGCAAGUAGAACGCACAGUUUAUACCGUAGCUUGCUACACCAUAGACUGUGAGUUGCGAACGGGUGAGUAACGCGUAGGUAACCUGCCUGGUAGCGGGGGAUAACUAUUGGAAACGAUAGCUAAUACCGCAUAAUAUUAAUUAUUGCAUGAUAAUUAAUUGAAAGGUGCAAUUGCACCACUACCAGAUGGACCUGCGUUGUAUUAGCUAGUAGGUGAGGUAACGGCUCACCUAGGCGACGAUACAUAGCCGACCUGCGAGGGUGAUCGGCCACACUGGGACUGAGACACGGCCCAGACUCCUACGGGAGGAAGCAGUAGGGAAUCUUCGGCAAUGGACGAAAGUCUGACCGAGCAACGUCGCGUGAGUGAAGAAGGUUUUCGGAUCGUAAAGCUCUGUUGUAAGAGAAGAACGGGUGUGAGAGUGGAAAGUUCACACUGUGACGGUAUCUUACCAGAAAGGGACGGCUAACUACGUG